rnacentral:rRNA from 1 species
UACGUAGGGGCAAGCGUUAUCCGGAAUUAUUGGGCGUAAAGAGUGCGUAGGUGGAUUUACAAGCCUUUGGUUAAAGGCUACGGCUUAACCGUAGUAAGCCUUAGGAACUGUAAGUCUUGAGUGCAGGAGAGGAAAGCGGAAUUCCUAGUGUAGCGGUGAAAUGCGUAGAUAUUAGGAGGAACACCAGUGGCGAAGGCGGCUUUCUGGACUGUAACUGACACUGAGGCACGAAAGCGUGGGGAGCAAACAGGAUUAGAUACCCCCCGUAGUCCCUGAGCGGGCUGGCAA